AUUCAAUAGAUGCAUUUUUUUUAAUUCUCUAAAUUUGUUUAGGUAGAUGUGGUCUGUAAAGAAGCUAACUGAUAAAGGAAGAAAGAAUUGAACAUUCUCCAAACCUGCAAUCAGUGUCUGCUAAACACUGGAAGGUCUCAACCCUAACCAAAGGAAGAAGAUUUAUUGCAAAAAGCCUGACAUGGAGGAAGAAGCUCCUGUUUGCCAGGAGUAAAGAUCCUCCGUGGUUUAAACUAUGAAGAUCUGAUUAGCAAACCUCAUGAAGAUGUUCACAG
rnacentral:lncRNA from 14 species